rnacentral:rRNA from 1 species
UGCGUAGGGGGCAAGCGUUGUCCGGAAUCAUUGGGCGUAAAGCGCGUGUAGGCGGCCCGGUAAGUCCGCUGUGAAAGUCGGGGGGCUCAACCCUCGAAUGCCGGUGGAUACUGUCGGGCUAGAGUGCGGAAGAGGCGAGUGGAAUUCCUGGUGUAGCGGUGAAAUGCGCAGAUAUCAGGAGGAACACCAAUUGCGAAGGCAGCUCGCUGGGACGUGACUGACGCUGACGACGCGAAAGCCAGGGGAGCGAACGGG